AUCCUGGUCCAGGAUGAAUGCUGGCGGCGUGGAUUAGGCAUGCAAGUCGAACGGGAACGCAUAUUUUGCGUAAGCAAAAUGUACGUUCUAGUGGCGAACGAGCUAGUAACACCUUGGUACCUACCCUUGAGAUGGGAACAGCUCGUCGAAAGACGGGGUAAUUUCCAAUAGUAUCAAUUUUAUAUUGAUUAAAGGCGUAAGCCGCUUAAGGAUGGGCCUAGGUCCGAUCAGCUAGUUGGUGAGGUAAUUGCUCACCAAGGCUAUGACCGGUAGGGGAGCUGAGAGGCUGUUCCCCAGCGAGAGGCACUGAGACACGGGCCCUACUCCUACGGGAGGCAGCAGCCGAGAAUAUUCCGCAAUGGGCGAAAGCCUGACGGAGCGACGCCGCGUAAAGGAAGAAGCCCUUCGGGGUGUAAACUUUUUUUCACAAAGAAGAACCUUGAUUUUUCAAGGUGACGGUAUUUGUGGAAUAAGGCGCUGCUAACCUCGUGCCAGCAGCCGCGGUAAUACGAGGGCGUCAAGCAUUAUCCGGAUUUAUUGGGCGUAAAGAGUACGUAGGCGCCUUAUUAAGUCUGAUGUUCAAUUUUAGAGCUUAACUCUAAAGCCGCAUUAGAAACUAAUAAGGUAGAGAAAGAGAGGGGUUAGCGGAACGCACGGUGUAGGGGUGAAAUCCGUGGAUAUCGUGCGGAACACCAAAAGCGAAGGCAGCUAACUGGCUCUUUUCUGACGCUGUUACGUACGAAAGCGUGGGGAGCGAACAGGAUUAGAUACCCUGGUAGUCCACGCCCUAAACGAUGUCAACUAGUCAUUGGAAGAAUCGACCCUUUCAGUGGCGAAGCUAACGCGUUAAGUUGACCGCCUGGGAAGUACGGUCGCAAGGCUAAAACUCAAAGGAAUAGACGGGGACUCGCACAAGCGGUGGUUCAUGAGGUUCAAUUCGAUAGCAAACGAGGCACCUCACCAGGGCUUGACAUGUAGUCCUUAUGCUUUUUUUGAAAAGAAAAAGUUUUUACCGUAAGGUAAACGGACUGCACAGGUGCUGCAUGGUUGUCGUCAGCUCGUGCCGUGAGGCGUUCCCUUCAGUGGGGAAACGAGCGCAACCCUUGUUGUUUGUUUUUGUGUCAAACAAGACUACCCAGCUUUAAGUCUACAAAUUCAAGGUUUUGCAGGUUUAAAGCUGGGUGGAAGUGGGGAUGACGCCAAAUCAGCAUGGCCCUUUGAUGCCCUGGGCGACACUCAUGAAACAAUGGUAUAUACAGCGGGUUGCUAAGCCGCGAGGCGGAGCUAAUCCCUUAAAAUAUACCUCAGUUCGGAUUGGAGUCUGAAACCCGACUCCAUGAAGCUGGAAUCGCUAGUAAACGCGUAUCAGCCAUGGCGCGUUGAAUACGUUCUCGAGUCCUGUACUCACCGCCCGUCACGCCAAGGAAGCCGGGAAUAAGUGAAGGCCCUUUGGGGACGAACUUAGGCUCGGUAACAGGGGUGAAGUCGUAACAAGGCAUCCCUAGCGGAAGCUGGGGAUG
rnacentral:rRNA from 1 species